rnacentral:lncRNA from 1 species
CCAGAGUUAAUCACAUGGGCCUUGCGUGCAUACUGUAUGGUCUAUGUGAGGUUCCUGUAUGGUCUGUGUGAGGUUACUGUAUGGUCUGUGUGAGGUUACUGUAUGGUCUGUGUGAGGUUACUGUAUGGUCUGUGUGAGGUUACUGUAUGGUCUGUGUGAGGUUACUUACUGUAUGGUCUGUGUGAGGUAACUGUAUGGUCUGUGUGAGGUUACUGUAUGGUCUGUGUGAGGUUACUGUAUGGUCUGUGUGAGGUUACUGUAUGGUCUGUGUGAGGUUACGGUAUGGUCUGUGUGAGGUGAGGUAACUGUAUGGUCUGUGUGAGGUUACUGUAUGGUCUGUGUGAGGUUACUGUAUGGUCUAUGUGAGGUUACUGUAUGGUCCGUGUGAGUAAAGAAUAAUGGUAAGGCUAGCAUUCCCUACCACUGCAUGUUUAUGUUUGACCAUCAGAGAGAUAAAUGCAUUUAGCGGCCAACAGUGCAAAGUGGAUUUCUUAUGACAUCACAGGGUUGAGCCAUUAUGAUGUCAUAAUGGGUGGCUAGAGAGCCACCUCCUCUGAUUCGCUGUCUGUGUUGGGCUUGGUCAGCGUCUCCAACUCCUCCUCAUAAACAACACAAAACACAGGGGAGGCAGAGAGGAAACACACCAGCAAGAUAAAUGUCUUAAAGCAGUGAGUGGCCGCGGCGUGUCAGCGAUUACCUGCUGGGUGUCAACGAACGGCGAAAAUUUAACAUGUAGAAUCGACAGGAAAUAAACCUGAAAUUGAUGGCCAAUGUUCUGUGGUCAAAGGCAAUAGGAUGGCCACCCGUUGUUUUUAAGUACACUCGUCCGUCCGUUGCUCUGGUGUGUUUUCCCUCUUUCGGUGGAUAAUCACAUACAGCAGGACUCAACAUUAACACUUGUCCGGGGGCAAGUAAAACAAAUUGUCGGACAAGUAGAUUAUAGAUUUAAUUGUGAGACAAAAUCUGGCAAAAAUCCCAAUAUCAAACAAUUAGGCUACUCCAGUUAGAAUUACAUUAGCGUGUCCUUUGGAUAAGAUGCAUCUGUCUUCUCAAUCUCUGCAGAGCACAUCGCAGUAGACUUAUUCUAGGCUUGCAUUGCCAGGCACGAUGCCGUCUAUCAAUCAGAUACGUUUUUGAGAUCAAAGCAAGCCGCGUGUGCACAUUUGUUGAUAUUCAUUGCUAG